rnacentral:lncRNA from 1 species
AUGGUGAGAAAUUAUUGCCUCAGCCGAAGGCUCCUGGAUUUUAUUCUGGAAAGAGUUCACUCGAAGCCACGUCUCUAUCCUCAAAUCAGAUGUCACUUACAAUUUUUGAGGCAAGAUAGAUUAUGAAGAAUCAAAUCAAUAAAAUCUGUAUUCUGAUAUAGCUUCCAAAUUUAUAGAGUGAACCUGUAAAUGUAUAUGUAGCUUCCUUUUGAUAUGAAUCGUUCAUAUCUCCUUUGAUAAAUUAUUACAAACUUGUUUAUUGAUUCAAAUUAUAAUUUUCUUCUCUUUACACAACUUCAUGAAGAUGGUAAU